rnacentral:rRNA from 1 species
UACGUAGGGGCCUAGCGUUGUCCGGAUUUAUUGGGCGUAAAGAGCUCGUAGGCGGUUUGGUGAGUCGGGUGUGAAAUCUCCACGCUCAACGUGGAGGGGCCACCCGAUACUGCCAUGACUAGAGUCCGGUAGGGGAGUGUGGAAUUCCCGGUGUAGCGGUGAAAUGCGUAGAUAUCUGGAGGAACACCGGUGGCGAAGGCGGCGUCCUGGACCAACACUGACACUGAGGAGCGAAAGCCAGGGGAGCAAACGGG